UUCUCUCACAAUAGGGAUUACAAUUCAACAUGAGAUUUGGGUGGGGACACAAAUCCAAACCAUAUCACCCGCUAUGAUUGUGGGAGGAUCAAUCAAAUCAGCCAGCAGGUGGGAAGCACUUAGCACAGUGUUAUGUGGCAGGCACUUAAUAAAUGCUUGCUGGAACUAAGGCAAGAAUUAGGUACAGGAAGUGAGACAUCAAGGCCAGACAACAAACCUGUUUUGCUGAGCAUUUUGUCCAAGUGCUCUUAAAAUACUUUUGUCUGGGAUUGGUUUCUUUGUGCAGGACUGGGAUUAGAACUAAGAGGCCCCUCCAUGGGGAACUGCAGGCUCCAGGAGCCAGGCUGCCAUCUCAGAAACCACCGGGUCUUUUGACUCUCCCAAAGCUAUCUAUAGCCCACAAUGACACACAGUAGGUGCUCACUAAGUAUCUGUUGAAGCAUCAAUGCACUUAACAGAGGGAUGUGAACAACCUGACUCCCAGGAGCUACUGAACAGUAAAACACUGAGGUUUGCUUUAGUCAGACAAGCUUUGUCUUCUCGGAACAAACAAAAAAACAAUAAAAAUAAAUCAGACAAGGCUUUGUUUCUGAAAGACACUGAACAAAUACACUUGAGGUAUUAUCUCAAGAAAAAUCAAUGUCUUUCCCAUCCACCGGUGUACGUGCCUUUGGCAUUGACUUGGAAACACUGAAACCCUCCUGGCCCAGUGCUCUCUUGAGUCCACAGGCUGAGAAUACCAGUUCCAGCAUUCCCAGCUGGCCAAGCCGAUGAGAACUCAUUUCCUUCUUGGAGUGCAGAGCCAUCACUGCAGGAAGAAAAAGUGGAUGAGGAAGACCCUUUGGACAUCGUCAAAAGAGGCAUUGUUAGCAAAUGACGGGGGGCCAGUCCUGAAAGCCUGUGAGGCUGUGAGCAACUCUCCCACCUGCUCUUCUCUGUCUGUCCUACUCCUCAUGACAAUGACUCUUAUCCUGGAGGGCCUGCAGUAGCGUUUGACACACGUACCUCAUUUAAUUCUCACAAGAGUUCUAUGAAACAGGCUAGGAUUUGGCAAACCAUUGUCAGCUACCUGUUUUUGUAAAUAUAGUUUUAUUGGAACAUAACCACCACAAUUUAUUUACAUAUUGUCUAUAGCUGCUUUUACUCUACAAUGGCAGAGUUGAGUAGUUGUGACAAAAGCUCUAGGCCCUGAAAAGUGCAAAAUAUUUAUUUUACUAUGUGGCCCUUUACAGCAAAGGUGUGUUGACCCCUCAGAUAAAUGGGACAUUGCUCCCACUUUACAUAUGAGGCACAGAAAAGCUAAGCGCAUUGACUGAGAUCAUUUGGGUUAUAAAUUAUAGUGUCAGAGAUGUCUCGGACCCAGAGACAACUGUUCCCUAUGCUUUUCUCCUCCCUACCUUAUAGCAUCUCCUACUCUUUCACAUUCAUUUGUUCCUACUAAAUGUGUCAGCCAAAAAGAACACAUUCAUUUGCACUGAACAAGACGUCUCAGGUUGACCAUCACACAGAAGUCAACAGGAGGUUCUGGAGACUUGCAGAAAGUGAUCAUCCAGCAUAUCCUCUCCUCUCCUCUCCUAGCCCCUAAGGACUGAUUCGUAGUCUGCCCAGAGUUUAUAAGAGAGACAGUCAUCCAACAUGAAUAGAGAUGGCCUGAGCAGGCAUGGGCUCUUUGAAAUUCGGAGAGAUCAGCUCAAAGAUACACUGGGAAGAACCAGGUUGCCCCAAGCAAAAGGCAACAACUGCCCUUGGUUGAGCAAGAUUCCUUGGGAAGCUUAUUGGAGGCCCCACCUCUAAGGACAGGCCCACAUUUGCCUUGUCUGCCAUUCUUCCCUUACUGAUGUAUUCUGACCCUGUCUUGGCUUGAUUUAUCUUUGAUGUCUUUGAUGUUGCUCAUGACCAUGCUGCCUUCUUCCUGGGAGUUCCCAUCUGGUCCUGGUUUCUGCUUCUCUUGCCUUAGCUCAUACUCAAACCCUGUGGGUAACAGCCCACGUGCAACAGUGGUCUGCAGCUCCUGAGGGCUGUUGAAAAGAUUGCUUCAUUCAAUGCCAUAAAAAUAUCCAAGAAUACAGCAAUUGUUAUAGAAAUUAUGGUAAAUCUGCACAAUGAAAUAUUAUGCAGCCACUAAAACGGACAUCAAUUCAGAUUUCUAAAUGACACAAUGUAGCAGAGACAGGGCCAGGUUCAUGGGUGUGGGUCCUACACAGUCAUACAGGGCUCCACACUUACAAGGGCCCUACACUUGGUUUAAUGCUCCAUGGCUGCCACCUUGAAAUUCUGAAUAGUUUUAUAACAAGAGUCCUCCACAUUUACAUUUCACAUUGAGCCUAUAAAUUGUUAGCUAGUCCUGAGCAGAGAUGACUCUGAGUGCCCAUUUUCUCCUGUCUUUUAGUAAUAGAACCUCCUCCCUUUGCUUCAUACAUACACCCUGACUAGUGUUUCCACGCUGGAAUUCCUUCCCAGUAUUUCUUGAGAAUUUUUUAUGUUUCUCCAAAUCUCGAAAGAAAAAUCAGUCAAGAAAUUGGGAAAAAGUAUUGUAAUUAUCCUGCAGGAAUCAAGGCUUAAUGAUCAACAUAAAGACAUCACUGGUUUGAAUCCAUCAAUGUCAAAUGAAAAGCAAGAGCAGGAAAGGCUGGCAGGUGGAAGAGCAUAUAGCACAUAGGAGAGCACAUAGGUCAAGAGCUGAUCAGUCAAUCUUGCUUGUAGCCAUUGUCCUGUUCUAAGUGUGUGUUCUUGGCCCUGACUGAUGCUAAUGGCAAGUCAUUCUUGGAAAUAAAAUAAGCAGUAUUAGGUUUAUAUGUAUGUAUACUUUAUUCAAAUCCUGCUAGUGAUGUUCUAGGAAAUAACAAAUUUGGGAAGCAAAAUACGCCCUUAAUUGGCAAUUUCAAUGUGUGAUUCUGUGUAGUGCUUUAACCUUGCUAGGAGAUCUGAAUGUCACAUUCUUUGAAUAUUACCCAAAAAUGUUCACUGGUAUUUUCUAAUGUUUGAUUUUUUUUUUAUCUCAGGCUAUAGUUGUUUAUAAAUUUGCUAAAUGUAAUAUUUCUUAUUUAUUAAACCAAUUUCUUUUAGAUAUCCACAGUAAUGACUAAAGAGUAUAAAAAUUGCUGGAAGUCUUUUAUUUUCUUCUUGUUACUUAGUUUUCAUUUUGUAAUUAUAAACUUAACUCUGCGAUCCAGCUAGACAUGGAAGAGGAUAAGGAAAAUAUGGAACCCAAAGGACUGUGCAAAGAUUAUAGGAUGCUGUGAGCAAAUGGGGUGGAAGCAUGCUUUCCUGAGCUAUAGAAGGAACGAUCUGGUGGUUCAGAUAAAACAAUCAAAUUUAUUAGAGUUGUCCACAGUCAGCAGCUGUGAUCUUCUUGCUGGUCUUACCAUUCCUGGACCCAGAGCGUUCCAGGGCUUCCACAAUACUCAUGCCAUCUUUCACCUUGCCAAAGACCACAUGCUGUCAUCCAUCCUCUGUCUUGGCAGUACAGAAGAAAAACUGGGAACCAUUUGUGGUGGGUCCAGCAUUUGCCGUGGACAAGACGCCAGGAGCUGUAUGCUUAGGAUGAAGUUCUCAUCAUCAAAUUCCUUGCUGUAGAGGGACUUGCCACCAGUGCCAUUAUGGUGUGUGAAGUCACCACCCUGACACACACCCCGGAAUAAUUCUGUAAAAGCAGGGACAUUUAUCACCAAAUACUUUCUCUCCAGUGUUCAGAGCACAAAAAUUUUCUUCCAUCUUUAGAACUUUGUCUGCAAAUAGCUUGAAGGAGAUGCAGCCCAAGGACUCACUAUCAAUUGCAAUGUUGAAGAACACAGUGGGGUUGGCCAUGGCUGGUGGCAGGGAGUUCUGGGCAGCAGCGAUGUCUGCAAAUGGAAGUCUUUUCAGAAUAACACGAGUUUAUCUUUAUAACAAACCUAUACAUGUAUCCCUGAACCUAAAAUAAAAGUUUUUUUUUUAAAAGGAUAACUUAUUAUUUCAGAAAUUUCUAAGAAUUCCCAGGAAUUCCAACUUCUCAUUUGUAUAUCCUGAUGAAUAUCCACUGGGUAUUUGGAAAUGCCAAUUUCUGACAUAUGAUUGCUUAGCUAGAGACUGCAUUUCCAGCCUCCUUUGCAGGUAACUAUAGCCAGGUUCUAAGUUUUGGCCAAUGAGAUGUUAGCAGAAGUGAAAUGUGUGCCUUCUGGAUUUUAUUUUUAUGAGAAAUUUGCCUGUCUUCUAUUCUUUUUCCCUCUUCUCUCUGGCUCGGAAAUGAUGAAAAGUACAGGACUCACUGGGACCAAAAUUCAGAAAUUACAUGUUAAGGAAGAGAGGGCUGCUCCUCUAGCCUGUUCUCCUUAUGACCUUGUGGAACGGAAUUGCCUACCUGCCCUGGACUAUCCUAAGAUUGUCGUAUGGAGAGAAAUACAUUCUAUUUUAUUUAAA
rnacentral:lncRNA from 1 species